GUGGGACUUUCUAGAGGCUACCCCCACUUCCCCACCCUCUAGUGCUAAGUAUUUAUAUUUCCUGAUCCUCUGUACUUCUCUCUUGUCUCUUCCCAUACCUGAUCCUACCCACCCUUUUAUUAUGUCCCUUUCCUCACUCCCUUUUAGGUACCCAUGAAGCAACUUCAUUUGAAACUUUUGCCCCAAGGAAUGGCUAAUAGCUUUCCAUUAUGUAAAAAAUUUUGUUGUUGCUUCGAUACAAGAAGUCAGGACAUUGAAUCUUGCACUGUCUAUUGUUCCUUAUAUGGAUAUUUUAUCAGCUGAUCCCUCUGAAGGAGUUUUACUACAAGCCUUGGCUCUGAUACAAGGAGCUUUAAAAUUUUGGAGUGGUUAUUGUUCAAAGACAGUAUCUUCUGGCCUCCUCCAAGGGGCUGGCUUCAAGUCUCCAGCUCUGCUUUCUGCAGCACUCUAGGCUCAGGUGGAUCCACUUCACUGAUGCUGCUAUUCUUGGAGAUCAUACCGUGGUACUGGCAUCUCUAACAAGUGGGGUCUUCUGCUGCAAAUAGGCCCCACCAAUAGCUUCUCAUAGGCUUUCAUCACGCCAAGCCUCAACUCUUUUUCAUGACCUCUCCAUUCUUGAGCUGUCAAUUAAAACUGAGGCUGAACCUUCACCAAUGACCUCUGACCACCUGACCCCUGAUCCCGUCACCCAUGACCCUGCCACGUGUGACACACUGGCACCCCACCAUGUGACUCCUGACCCAAAGACACCCCGACCCUGCCCAAGCUCUGCUCCUCGGCACCCAAGCCAGCGUACAACCUGAGCGAGGCCUUUGGAUGAUGAUGGGACCCAGAGUGGCCACAAGAGGGAGCCAGAUUCCUAGACACGGAGUCAUUUGUCCAGCCACCAAAAGAAGGUACAAAAUAUCACAGCACCUGCUGGGAUUCAAACUCAUGACCUUUGGGAGAACAGUUUGUGCCCUUAACCGCUAAGCUACCUGUUCUCAGUUUUUACAUUUGACCUUUUGGCGUCAUGGUCGCCUGAGGCGACAAGAAUAGGAUUGGGAAUCUGCGCAUGCUCACUCGCCGGAGGCGGAUUUAAAGUCUUGUCUCAAGUAUUUUUCUUUUUGGAAGAAAUGAACAUUUUACUUAAACUUUAGAAGAGAUGAGAAAGAAAACCCACGUUUUCCUGGGGAGCCGCGAGUGAGCGCCGCAGCCCCCGCCGAACUCCCCGUUCCUCGCGCCAAACCGUGGUGGAGGCCAGGAAGCAGGAACCGAGUCACAGCUUUUUAAAAAAUUAUUAUUAUUGAUAAUUAAUAAAGUUCAACCUCUGUCUCGCGGAAACCUGGAAAUAAAGUUUCUUCCUCGGUUUAUAAAUGACUUCCUGUGGCCACAGGGAGAAAACAAAGACCAAGGACCUUUCAGAGGCCAUGAAAUGAAUUUCUAACCUGGAGCCAGACUCGUGAUCCUGAACAGCGGAGGAGUCUAGCCUCGGCUCGGGAUCGGAGUUCUCACCUGGAAGUGGGGCUAUCUGGGAGGCACGUAAUAAACAGACAUAGACUGCUUUUUUGGGUGCAAGCUGACAGG
rnacentral:lncRNA from 1 species